GAUGAACGCUAGCGGCAGGCUUAACACAUGCAAGUCGAGGGGCAGCACGGGUAGCAAUACCUGGUGGCGACCGGCGCAAGGGUGCGUAACGCGUGAGCAACAUGCCCUAUACAGGGGGAUAAUCCAGGGAAACUUGGUCUAAUAUCCCAUAGUAUUUAGAGGAGGCAUCUUCUAUAAAUUAAAGCUUCGGUGGUAUAGGAUUGGCUCGCGUGACAUUAGCUAGAUGGUGAGGUAACGGCUCACCAUGGCAAUGAUGUCUAGGGGUUCUGAGAGGAAGGCCCCCCAACUGGAACUGAGACACGGUCCAGACUCCUACGGGAGGCAGCAGUGAGGAAUAUUGGACAAUGGUCGGAAGACUGAUCCAGCCAUGCCGCGUGAAGGUUACGGUCCUAUGGAUUUUAAACUCUUUUGAUGGAAGCAAUAAGGUGCACGCGUGCAUCGAUGAGAGUACCAUACGAAUAAGCAUCGGCUAAC
rnacentral:rRNA from 1 species